rnacentral:rRNA from 1 species
CCUACGGGAGGCAGCAGUGAGGAAUAUUGGUCAAUGGACGAGAGUCUGAACCAGCCAAGUAGCGUGAAGGAUGACUGCCCUAUGGGUUGUAAACUUCUUUUAUAAAGGAAUAAAACGAGGCACGUGUGCCUUUUUGCAUGUACUUUAUGAAUAAGGAUCGGCUAACUCCGUGCCAGCAGCCGCGGUAAUACGGAGGAUCCGAGCGUUAUCCGGAUUUAUUGGGUUUAAAGGGAGCGUAGAUGGGAUGUUAAGUCAGUUGUGAAAGUUUGGGGCUCAACCGUAUAAUUGCAAUUGAUACUGGCAGCCUAGAGUACAGUUGAGGUAGGCGGAAUUCGUGGUGUAGCGGUGAAAUGCUUAGAUAUCACGAAGAACUCCGAUUGCGAAGGCAGCUUACUAGACUGCAACUGACGUUGAUGCUCGAAAGUGUGGGUAUCAAACAGGAGUAGAUACCCCAGUAGUC